GUUAGGGUAAACUAUACAAGGUUGUCGGGUUCAUACCCCGAAUGAAGAGGUAGCCUCUCCCUAGCU
rnacentral:tRNA from 1 species